rnacentral:rRNA from 1 species
UACGGGGGGGGCAAGCGUUGUUCGGAAUUACUGGGCGUAAAGGGCUCGUAGGUGGCCAACUAAGUCAGACGUGAAAUCCCUCGGCUUAACCGGGGAACUGCGUCUGAUACUGGAUGGCUUGAGGUUGGGAGAGGGAUGCGGAAUUCCAGGUGUAGCGGUGAAAUGCGUAGAUAUCUGGAGGAACACCGGUGGCGAAGGCGGCAUCCUGGACCAAUCUGACGCUGAGGAGCGAAAGCCAGGGGAGCAAACGGGGAUUAGA